AAUGCUCUAGAGUUGCCAAACAAGUGUGGAAGCCACUGCCCUCUUUUAUGCACAAGAGAGGGAUUCAUAGUCGUAACAAAAAGGCAAUGGAACUAGUGGCAAAAGGGUGGAGUGCUCUACAGGAAGUAGAUAGGGUUAUCGACUAUGCCGAUCGGAAUGACACUCGCCUCAUCCUGCAACUCAGAGGUGCAAAGGAGAACUUUGAAUUGGCUCUUGAGAUUGACAACAUGAAUACUCAUGCAUGAUACUGGUU